GAUGAACGCUGGCGGUCUGCUUAACACAUGCAAGUCGAACGAACUCUUCGGAGUGAGUGGCGGACGGGUGAGUAACGCGUGAGAAUCUGCCUGUGGGUCGGAGACAACCACUGGAAACGGUGGCUAAUACCGGAUGAGCCGAAAGGUAAAAGAUUUAUUGCCCACAGAUGAGCUCGCGUCUGAUUAGCUAGUUGGUAAGGUAAAAGCGUACCAAGGCGACGAUCAGUAGCUGGUCUGAGAGGAUGAGCAGCCACACUGGGACUGAGACACGGCCCAGACUCCUACGGGAGGCAGCAGUGAGGAAUCUUGCACAAUGGGCGAAAGCCUGAUGCAGCGACGCCGCGUGAGGGACGACGGCCUUCGGGUUGUAAACCUCUGUCAGUAGGGAAGAAGUAUGACGGUACCUACUGAGGAAGCUUCGGCUAACUACGUGCCAGCAGCCGCGGUAAU
rnacentral:rRNA from 1 species